AGUGAACGCUGGCGGUAGGCCUAACACAUGCAAGUCGAACGGCAGCACAGUAAGAGCUUGCUCUUACGGGUGGCGAGUGGCGGACGGGUGAGGAAUACAUCGGAAUCUACUUUUUCGUGGGGGAUAACGUAGGGAAACUUACGCUAAUACCGCAUACGACCUACGGGUGAAAGCAGGGGAUCUUCGGACCUUGCGCGAUUGAAUGAGCCGAUGUCGGAUUAGCUAGUUGGCGGGGUAAAGGCCCUCCAAGGCGACGAUCCGUAGCUGGUCUGAGAGGAUGAUCAGCCACACUGGAACUGAGACACGGUCCAGACUCCUACGGGAGGCAGCAGUGGGGAAUAUUGGACAAAGGGCGCAAGCCUGAUCCAGCCAUACCGCGUGGGUGAAGAAGGCCUUCGGGUUGUAAAGCCCUUUUGUUGGGAAAGAAAAGCAGCAGGUUAAUACCCCGCUGUUCUGACGGUACCCAAAGAAUAAGCACCGGCUAACUUCGUG
rnacentral:rRNA from 1 species